AUAGCCCAAAUGCCCCCAAGUCUAUUCUGUGCAGUGUAAAUUCAUUGCACUGUAUUGAUAAAAGCACUGAUGCAUUUCAAAUGAUGCAGAUGCACGUGCAGUGAAUGAAUUAUUUAUCGUUUGCUUUACAUAGAUACGGAGAACUUUGUAAGUGCUAAUACUUUUCAUUGUGAAAAAAGGGUUGCGUUAAGAUGCUUCUUUGACAGACCUGGAGACUAAAAUAACAUUGUUAGAGAGCUGUAACAUGGCUAGCUGGAGUUCAGGCUUCUCUGGCUAGCUCCUCCAUGGGCUUGACCAUAUCAGAGAGACCAAAUGAACUGCAUGGGAGAAGGAGCCUUGUUCUUAAGAGGGUUAGGCUGCUGGCAUGAAAGGUCUUUGUCUUUCUCAUCAGAGGAACAGGUUCUGGUCUUGUGUGUGUUCUGCAGGUGCUACAAGUUGAGGGCUACACACCCGCCCCAACUCUCAUCCUAAAUAAAUGCAAACUGCCCACAGAUGUUUUUGUUAGUAUAAAUUUGGUGAAGGCAUAAAGAAAAUUGUGUUACUCUAUUGGAAUUUUUGCUUCAUUGCCUGCUGUGCUAAACAGAGAUACUAAUUACAUCUUAUAUUGCCAAGGAAGAAGAAAUAAAGGCUCACACUCUGUCAAGACUGCUACAAUGGGAAAGAAGAGAGGAAUGUAUUAAACAUUUUGGACCAUAAUUUUGAUUUUAAGACUCAUCCUGGAUUAUCAUCUCCAGGGAUUUCAUAGAAUAAAAUAUCUACUCUGAGAACACUGAAA